rnacentral:lncRNA from 1 species
AAAGAAUUUUUACUUUUCAAUUUGACAAAUGUCUCAUGAUCGCCGUUCAUUGGCUUGUUCAACCAUGCAAACAAUGUAAAUUAUGUAAAUUAGAAAUCUAUCAUCUGUAAAAAAAAAUUAUCUAAGCAUCACAUCGAUGUUUUUUCAUUAAUCUUCUAGGCAAAACGAUGUUUCUGGGACUUGGGGGAUACAAUCAGGACCCGUGAUUAGUAUCUG